CUAACACAUGCAAGUCGAACGGCAGCACAGGAGAGCUUGCUCUCUGGGUGGAGAGUGGCGGACGGGUGAGGAAUACAUCGGAAUCUACUCUGUCGUGGGGGAUAACGUAGGGAAACUUACGCUAAUACCGCAUACGACCUACGGGUGAAAGCAGGGGAUCUUCGGACCUUGCGCGAUUGAAUGAGCCGAUGUCGGAUUAGCUAGUUGGCGGGGUAAAGGCCCACCAAGGCGACGAUCCGUAGCUGGUCUGAGAGGAUGAUCAGCCACACUGGAACUGAGACACGGUCCAGACUCCUACGGGAGGCAGCAGUGGGGAAUAUUGGACAAUGGGCGCAAGCCUGAUCCAGCCAUACCGCGUGGGUGAAGAAGGCCUUCGGGUUGUAAAGCCCUUUUGUUGGGAAAGAAAUCCAGCUGGCUAAUACCCGGUUGGGAUGACGGUACCCAAAGAAUAAGCACCGGCUAACUUCGUGCCAGCAGCCGCGGUAAUACGAAGGGUGCAAGCGUUACUCGGAAUUACUGGGCGUAAAGCGUGCGUAGGUGGUCGUUUAAGUCCGUUGUGAAAGCCCUGGGCUCAACCUGGGAACUGCAGUGGAUACUGGGCGACUAGAGUGUGGUAGAGGGUAGCGGAAUUCCUGGUGUAGCAGUGAAAUGCGUAGAGAUCAGGAGGAACAUCCAUGGCGAAGGCAGCUACCUGGACCAACACUGACACUGAGGCACGAAAG
rnacentral:rRNA from 1 species